GUGGGAAUCGGGCCCCGCCGCGCGCUGGGGAACCUGUGGCGCCGCGCGCUCCUCCUGCCCCUCCGUGUCGCCUUCGGCCUCUGGGCAGAGCUCCGGGUGGCUUUGAAAGGCCUGUCUGUUCGCUGCCGCCCUUCUAAGGAUGCUGUGUGAAGUGACAACGGUCAUACCAGAGAGGCCAGGUGGACGAGGAGAGUGGACCAUUGGACUGGGUGGUGGUGGUGAAGGAGGAGAGGAAUGAAGGGCUUCAGGAUGUGUAUGAAGGCAGAGCUGACUGGACAGAAUGAAGUGGCCGUGAGAGGUGACGGAGAGAAUGCAGUCUACAAAGAGUCCUAGGAUUCUGGCCUGAGCCUCUGGGUUGAAUGUGCCUUUAGAUUGAACUAGAAUGUGCCUAACCAAUGUGUUGUGGAACAUUUGAGUUUUUUGCUGUUUAAUGAUGGUCUUAUGAACAUCAUUGUAUAAACCAUUGGUCAGAUAAACCUUGGGAUAGGUUACUAGGAAUAAAAUGACUGGACCAGAAUAGUUUUAAAACCAGUAGGGUAACAGGGGAGUUUUAAAUUUAGCUUACAAUCAUCCAGUCAAGGUCUUGGUGUAAAAGUAGCUAACAGGCACUACUUUACUGAUGUACUUUCUGGCUUACUAAAUAUAUUAUUCAAGUAUAGACAGAGAUACACACAUAUUUGAGCCUAUGUAUUUAAACUCUUUCCUUGUUUUUCUGAUUAUAAAAAUAGUAUGUGUAAGUUAACAAAAGUUAGAAAGCCAAGAAAGAUAAAGGAGCAAAACCUGGUAAUCCCAUUAACUGGAAGGAAAAAAAAUACUGUUAAUAUUUUUAUAUGCAGUGUAUCUUCUCGACUGUUUUUCACGAAUGUAUUAUGUAUUACUCUUUUGAAAAUUGCUUGUUUUAUUUCACUAUGUGUCAUUAUUUUUAAGUGUCAUUAACAGUCUGUUCUUUAAUGUGAGUUUAAUGCUUUUGUACUAUUUCAAUAUAAUUUUUAUUUCACUCUUGAUUUUUUGAAAAGGUAAUACAUGCAGAUAGUAAAACUUUCAAAUAGUACACUAGGAAUGGAGGGGAAAAUCUCCCAUCCCUGACUUCUGUUCCCCAGUUACGUUCCAUACGGAUACUUUUUCACCCAAAGAAUUUGUGCAUACACAUAUCUCAUAUAUGUAUGUAUAGUGGUGCCUCUUUUUUUUAUGUACAAAUGUAUAUUUUAUUUUGCACUUCUUUUUUUAAAACUUAGCAGUAUAGCUUGGACAUUGAUUUCAACUAGCAUAUGUCAGUCUACAAUAUUCUUUUAAAAAAAUCUGCAUUUUUUUUUAAUGUACAGCUGUGCCGUUGUUUCUUUUCUAUCCAUUCUCAGAUGUUUUGGUCUCAGGACCAAAACACAUUUUUUUAACACAUUUGAAAAUCAUUGAGAACCCUAAAGAGCCUUUGUUUAUAAGGGUUCUACCUAUAAAUACUUAUAUUAUAUGUAUUAUUAUAUAUACAGAUAUAGAUACUGUUAGAAAUUAAACAGAAAACUUAAAAAUAUUUACUAAUUCAUAAAAAAUAACAAUAAUACACCCAUUACAUGUUAACGUAUUUCUAUAAAAAUGCAACUUUUCCAGAACAAACUCCAGUGGGAAGUAUCCGGGUUGUUUUUGCGUAUUUGCAAAUCUCAUUAAUGUUUGGCUUAACAGAAGACAGCUAGGUUCUUACAUCUGGUUCUUCAUUCAGUUGGUGUGCUAUGUUGUUUUAGUUAAAGAAUUGGAAGCAUAUCUGGUUUCACCCAGAUAUGUAGUUGGAGAAAGGGGGAACUCAGACCUCUGGAAGGGUGCCUUGGGCCCUCAGGGAUCCUCAGACCACACUUGGAGAAUGGCCGAUUUAACCAGUACCCUGCUGAUGGAAGUUUAGGUUAUUUACAGUCUUUUGAUAUACAAAGCAUGCGAUGCUGAAUGUCCUGUAAACAUUUUCAACAAAUGUGUAAGUGCCACUCAGUAUUGGCUUGUGGGAUGCAAAGAGGUGAGAAAAGUCUGUUCCCUGAAGGAGCUGCCAAGUUAAUUGGGAGAGGCAGUCAGGCAAACAAGCAUGAAGUCAUGAAAGCCUGCACGAGGUGGGUCCUGGGGACACAGGGAAGAGCUGGACUACUCAGCAUUUAGGAGGAUUAGGGGAAACGUUUUAGAGGAGAUUCCUGAGCCGAGUUUUGACAAAUGAGCCCAGCUACAAAUGAGGUGAGCAGAAGUUGUUGUUGCCACAACAUACUUGGAACUCCUUUUCUGGAGCUUGGUUGUGGUCCACAGAGAUCACUGCUUUUGUGACUUGAUCAGACCUUGUAUAUUAUCACUUUAGACCUCACUCAUCUCUUAAUUAUACGUGCUAUCAAAGGAAAGGGUUAUUAUGCCUGCUCCGUAUCACCUUUUCCAGUUUCCAUUACUUGUGCUUACCUCGGUGAUAUACACACACACACACGAUGCCAUGAAACUUAAUCUUCUGCUUCAGACUUCCUGAAAGUCCCGUGAUGACGGCUGAUCAUGAAACUAGUAAAUCAGGUACUAGGCUAAUAGCCAUAAAUUCACCCAUUAUGAAGGGCCUGUUUCCUUUAAAACCUACCAGGUAAAUCACUAAGUGGUAUUAUAUUAUGCUCGUCUGCCCUACGUGGGUCAUAUUGUGAGACUGUCUAAGGACUUGGAAAUUACAUUUUUGUUGUAAAAUUCUGGAGCGUAUGCUUUCAUAAUGGGUCAGAUAUAUCAACCAUGUACUGUCUUUUAGCAAACUAGGUUUUUGUUUGUUUGUUUGUUGUUUUAAAGCAUGAGCAGGUAGUAGAGGCUACAGAUUACUCUGCCUUUUUCCCCUCCACCAUUUGAUGUUUUUAGUUCUGGUUGGCCUUUAAGACACGGUACAAAAGGUCUCAUUUGUACAGCUUCAUCAAGUCCAAUUAGAUGGCCGAUGUUACAUUUUAACAGUCUCACCUCCAAGUUUCAAGAGUUCUUGUCCUGGUUAAAUGGCAGGUCCAGCAGCACGCCUCCCUUCCUUAGCCAGAGAGACUGAUAGUAUUGAAAUAAUGCUAAGUCAUUCCUGCUCAUCAAAUUCCCAAGAAGCUAGAAAUCAACUGUUUUCUGUUCUUCAGCACUUUCUUACUGACCAGUAACCUGUGACCCUGGCACUUUGUAGUUCCUGUGACUUGGUCAUUAUAACCAACGUGUGCAGAGGGUCAAGCGUGUGCCAGCCCUGCACUGGCUGUUGUAUGAGCAUUCUCUAGUCCACACGCAGAUCUACAGAAUUACAAUUGUAAUUCUUCAUUUUACAAAUAAAGAAAUGGCCUCAGAGAGGUUGGGUUAUUUAUCUUAGGUCAAACAGGUAAAUAGAGAAGCCAGCAUUCACUCUUGGGACUGCAUGGCUGGGAUUCAUUAUAUUGUGCUGCUGUGUGGGUACUCCAGUAACUAGUGACUGUCCACUUAAUGUCUUAAAAAUGCCACACGGGGGCAUGAAUGGCAGGGAAUAUUUGCAGCUUAGUUCUCACAGGUACACUGAGAUUCAGCAGACGUUUUAAGGGUUGGCUAGAGAUAUGUGGUUUGUUGUUGUUGCCAUUCUGUCCCUAAAACAUUAAAAAACAAAUGUAAAAAAGGAAACGCCGACUUUCUCUUUUCUCCCACAAAAAGGACCCAAAAAAGGUCUAAAAUAGAAACCAUGUGUAAUUGUGAGGAGGCAGAAACUGCUUUUCAUCAUAAUGUGAUAAGACUUCUGGAAUAAUACCUGAACUUGAUUUUUCAUGAGUCAUUUGACAGAUGUUUCUAUGCCUGUAUUAGGUAUGGGGAGGCAUGCAUGAGUGCCCUCGAGGCAUUUACGGUCCAGGAUUCAAGUCCUAGGUUCCACAGUACAUUCCCGUGGGCCCUGCUGGGGUGUAUGGUGAGCAUGAAGUGUUGAGGUCAUGGACAAGGUGGGAAAGGGCGUUACGCAGAGGUGCUUUUCUCCUGUGAUGCCCUUUCACACUCCUGUUCAUCUCUCAGAGUCUAUUUUCAGUCUCAUCACUUCCAUGAAAAUUUUCCACAGCUGUGGCAGCUACAUGUCAUUUUCUAAUCUGAAAUUUCUCUUAUACCCAUCAGUGUCUCUAACACGGCAUGCAUUGUCACCUCCCUGUAAGACAAUCUAUUUUAUAACCUCAGUUAUAGUCUCUCACCAUCUGAAUAGUAAGUUCAUUAGUUCAGUUCAAUGACUGUUUUGAUAGCCUAUUUGUGGCAGCAGGGGAGGCAUACUA